rnacentral:rRNA from 1 species
UACGUAGGGGGCAAGCGUUGUCCGGAUUCAUUGGGCGUAAAGAGCGUGUAGGCGGCCAGGUAGGUCGGUUGUGAAAACUGGAGGCUCAACCUUCAGAGGUCGACCGAAACCAUCUGGCUAGAGUCCGAGAGAGGAGAGUGGAAUUCCUGGUGUAGCGGUGAAAUGCGCAGAUAUCAGGAAGAACACCCGUGGCGAAGGCGGUUCUCUGGGACGGUACUGACGCUGAGACGCGAAAGCGUGGGGAGCGAACAGG